rnacentral:rRNA from 1 species
AGAGUUUGAUCCUGGCUCAGGAUGAACGCUAGCGACAGGCUUAACACAUGCAAGUCGAGGGGCAGCAUAAAAGUAGCAAUACUUUGGUGGCGACCGGCGCACGGGUGAGUAACACGUAUGCAACCUACCUACAUCAGGGGAAUAACCCGGAGAAAUUCGGACUAAUACCGCAUAAUACAGGGAUGCCGCAUGGUAAUAUUUGUUAAAGAUUUAUCGGAUGUAGAUGGGCAUGCGUUCCAUUAGCUAGUUGGUAAGGUAACGGCUUACCAAGGCAACGAUGGAUAGGGGAACUGAGAGGUUUGUCCCCCACACUGGAACUGAGACACGGACCAGACUCCUACGGGAGGCAGCAGUGAGGAAUAUUGGUCAAUGGACGAGAGUCUGAACCAGCCAAAUCGCGUGAAGGAAGACUGCCCUACGGGUUGUAAACUUCUUUUGUACAGGAAUAAAAGACAUUACGUGUAAUGUAUUGCAUGUACUGUACGAAUAAGCAUCGGCUAACUCCGUGCCAGCAGCCGCGGUAAUACGGAGGAUGCGAGCGUUAUCCGGAUUUAUUGGGUUUAAAGGGUGCGCAGGCGGGAUUUUAAGUCAGCGGUGAAAUUUUCAGGCUCAACCUGAACACUGCCGUUGAAACUGGGAUUCUUGAGUAUGGAUGAAGUAGGCGGAAUUCGUUGUGUAGCGGUGACAUGCUUAGAUAUAACGAGGGACUCCGAUUGCGUAGGCAGCUUACUAAGCCAUAACUGACGCUCAAGCACGAAAGCGUGGGGAUCAAACAGGAUUAGAUACCCUGGUAGUCG